rnacentral:sRNA from 1 species
UUGGCUAUUUUUUAUCCAAAGAGCAUAGCCACUGACCUGAAAACGACUCAGCCAGUAAAAAAACACGCAACUCUUGCUCGCCCUCCGUUUACUUACUAAAAGUAAUAGGUAGUAUGUAGGCCGGCUAAUUUCCCGCAGUUGGGGAA